rnacentral:tRNA from 1 species
GAGCUACAAAUCAUAAAGCUUCUAACUUUAUUUAGAGCAACCCAUGUUCAUAGCUCU